rnacentral:rRNA from 1 species
GCUGACGAGUGGCGGACGGGUGAGUAAUGUCUGGGAAACUGCCUGAUGGAGGGGGAUAACUACUGGAAACGGUGGCUAAUACCGCAUAACGUCGCAAGACCAAAGAGGGGGACCUUCGGGCCUCUUGCCAUCAGAUGUGCCCAGAUGGGAUUAGCUAGUUGGUGAGGUAACGGCUCACCAAGGCGACGAUCCCUAGCUGGUCUGAGAGGAUGACCAGCCACACUGGAACUGAGACACGGUCCAGACUCCUACGGGAGGCAGCAGUGGGGAAUAUUGCACAAUGGGCGCAAGCCUGAUGCAGCCAUGCCGCGUGUAUGAAGAAGGCCUUCGGGUUGUAAAGUACUUUCAGCGGGGAGGAAGGUGUUGUGGUUAAUAACCGCAGCAAUUGACGUUACCCGCAGAAGAAGCACCGGCUAACUCCGUGCCAGCAGCCGCGGUAAUACGGAGGGUGCAAGCGUUAAUCGGAAUUACUGGGCGUAAAGCGCACGCAGGCGGUCUGUCAAGUCGGAUGUGAAAUCCCCGGGCUCAACCUGGGAACUGCAUUCGAAACUGGCAGGCUUGAGUCUUGUAGAGGGGGGUAGAAUUCCAGGUGUAGCGGUGAAAUGCGUAGAGAUCUGGAGGAAUACCGGUGGCGAAGGCGGCCCCCUGGACAAAGACUGACGCUCAGGUGCGAAAGCGUGGGGAGCAAACAGGAUUAGAUACCCUGGUAGUCCACGCCGUAAACGAUGUCUACUUGGAGGUUGUGCCCUUGAGGCGUGGCUUCCGGAGCUAACGCGUUAAGUAGACCGCCUGGGGAGUACGGCCGCAAGGUUAAAACUCAAAUGAAUUGACGGGGGCCCGCACAAGCGGUGGAGCAUGUGGUUUAAUUCGAUGCAACGCGAAGAACCUUACCUGGUCUUGACAUCCACGGAAGUUUUCAGAGAUGAGAAUGUGCCUUCGGGAACCGUGAGACAGGUGCUGCAUGGCUGUCGUCAGCUCGUGUUGUGAAAUGUUGGGUUAAGUCCCGCAACGAGCGCAACCCUUAUCCUUUGUUGCCAGCGGUCCGGCCGGGAACUCAAAGGAGACUGCCAGUGAUAAACUGGAGGAAGGUGGGGAUGACGUCAAGUCAUCAUGGCCCUUACGACCAGGGCUACACACGUGCUACAAUGGCGCAUACAAAGAGAAGCGACCUCGCGAGAGCAAGCGGACCUCAUAAAGUGCGUCGUAGUCCGGAUUGGAGUCUGCAACUCGACUCCAUGAAGUCGGAAUCGCUAGUAAUCGUGGAUCAGAAUGCCACGGUGAAUACGUUCCCGGGCCUUGUACACACCGCCCGUCACACCAUGGGAGUGGGUUGCAAAAGAAGUAGGUAGCUUAACCUUCGGGAGGGCGCUUACCACUUUGUGAUUCAUGACUGGGGUGAAGUCGUAACAAGGUAACCGUAGGGGAACCUGCGGUUG